rnacentral:rRNA from 1 species
GAUGAACGCUGGCGGCGUGCUUAACACAUGCAAGUCGAACGAAGCACUUUAUUUGAUUUCCUUCGGGACUGAUUAUUUUGUGACUGAGUGGCGGACGGGUGAGUAACGCGUGGGUAACCUGCCUUGUACAGGGGGAUAACAGUUGGAAACGGCUGCUAAUACCGCAUAAGCGCACGGCAUCGCAUGAUGCAGUGUGAAAAACUCCGGGGGUAUAAGAUGGACCCGCGUUGGAUUAGCUAGUUGGUGAGGUAACGGCCUACCAAGGCGACGAUCCAUAGCCGACCUGAGAGGGUGACCGGACACAUUGGGACUGAGACACGGCCCAAACUCCUACGGGAGGCAGCAGUGGGGAAUAUUGCACAAUGGGCGAAAGCCUGAUGCAGCGACGCCGCGUGAGCGAAGAAGUAUUUCGGUAUGUAAAGCUCUAUCAGCAGGGAAGAUAAUGACGGUACCUGACUAAGAAGCACCGGCUAAAUACGUG